rnacentral:misc_RNA from 1 species
UUUAAGUUGUUUGAAUGUUACAGAUGAAUCUACUAUGGUUGGUUGGGUCCUUGCUGGUGGUCUGCGGGGUGCUGGAGGGGAAGAAGAAGGGGAAGGACGGAUUGUUCUCCUCCGACACCUUGAAGUGCUUGGUCUGUCAGUCCCUCGUGGAGGAGAUAGAGUUUCUUAUAAACAAGGUUGACCCAAAGAAGAAAAUAGAAACUGGAACCUUCCGACUCAACUCUGAUGGAACACAAAACAAAAAUAUUAUUUCAUAUGCGAGGUCUCAGACUCAUCUGAUGGAAAUUGUGGAUUCAGUUUGUAAAACUUUUGAGGAUUAUGCUCAAGCCAAGUCUAAGGUUUCGGGCAAACCAAUGAUUAUUAGGAUUGUAACCCCUGAAGGGAACAUGAACCCCCAGAUGGGAGAGGUGGAUAUGGUUCCUGAUGAUGACCUGAAUACUCGGCUUAAAUUUUACAUGAUAUCUCUGUGUGAGAAUAUAGUGGAGGAUCAAGAAGAUGAUAUAAUGGAAUUAUUCUCAAAGGAAGGAAAGCAUAAUGAUAUCCAGCUAUGCAGUAAACGAUCAAGUUACUGUGAGGAUACUGAAAUACCUGCUGAUGAAUAUGAAUUUGAGAAAGAAGAACUGUGAUCAACCAAAUCUGAGCUUUAUAAUUCAUUAGUUUACAUUGUUGAAUUUAUACUUUUAUAACGUACACUAAAUAAAUAGAUUUCACUUUUCAGAAAGCAAAUUUGAUCCCCCACGUUAAGGAGACUGAAAAUAAUUUCAUAAUAAGAUCACUUGAAAUGUUCGUACCUUCUGAAGAGUAAUACUGUACUCUGUACUGUUUCUUGGCUGCAUUUGGGUACAUUUCUAAUUUUAGAGAACUUCUAAAUACAUGUUUUUUUAUUGUGAAUUGCACUUGCCAGCUUCUUAGAUUAUGAUUUUAUAUGUUUUUUUUCUAUAUUUCUGUACAACUAUGAUACUGAACAGGUCUACAAUUUGUGAUAUACACAUAGUGAUAAAAAAUUUUAUAUAAUUGGUAAAACUCAAUUUAAGCUUAAUUUUUAAUCUUUUUAAAAUAUAGCAUUUUGUAUUUCUAAGGCAUAAUUAUAAUUUUUAUGAAUGUUAAGUAUUUCCGUAACACGUGAUCUUUAUGAUAAAAUAGUGACAGAAGUAUCAAACGUUAAUUGUCGCCUUGUCUACCCUAACUUGUUUUUUUUACGUACACGCAGUACACUACAGUCAACUUGCUUCGUAAUUUAUGUACGUUUAGAUAGUUGUUUUGCCUGAAAGUUUUGAUGAAAGAAGAUUUACAAUUUGUAUGCACGAGAGUUGAAAUAUAUUAAAUAUAUUUUUGUUACCGAGAA